AGAGGGAUCGUGAUUUUUGGAUCAGGCGCCAGACCACAUCUUAUGUCGUUAAUUGCCAUACACCUGGGCGCAAGGUUUAAUGAAAGUGGCGAGCAUGGCAAAAAAUUGCACGACAGAGG